rnacentral:rRNA from 1 species
GGGCGAGAGCCUGAACCAGCCAAGUAGCGUGAAGGAUGACUGCCCUAUGGGUUGUAAACUUCUUUUAUUAAAGGAAUAAAGUCGGGUAUGGAUACCCGUUUGCAUGUACUUUAUGAAUAAGGAUCGGCUAACUCCGUGCCAGCAGCCGCGGUAAUACGGAGGAUCCGAGCGUUAUCCGGAUUUAUUGGGUUUAAAGGGAGCGUAGAUGGAUGUUUAAGUCAGUUGUGAAAGUUUGCGGCUCAACCGUAAAAUUGCAGUUGAUACUGGAUAUCUUGAGUGCAGUUGAGGCAGGCGGAAUUCGUGGUGUAGCGGUGAAAUGCUUAGAUAUCACGAAGAACUCCGAUUGCGAAGGCAGCCUGCUAAGCUGCAACUGACAUUGAGGCUCGAAAGUGUGGGUAUCAAACAGGAUUAGAUACCCUGGUAGUCCACACGGUAAACGAUGAAUACUCGCUGUUUGCGAUAUACAGCAAGCGGCCAAGCGAAAGCGUUAAGUAUUCCACCUGGGGAGUACGCCGGCAACGGUGAAACUCAAAGGAAUUGACGGGGGCCCGCACAAGCGGAGGAACAUGUGGUUUAAUUCGAUGAUACGCGAGGAACCUUACCCGGGCUU